rnacentral:rRNA from 1 species
ACCGUACUCCUACGGGAGGCAGCAGUGGGGAAUUUUGGACAAUGGGCGCAAGCCUGAUCCAGCCAUGGCGCGUGUCUGAAGAAGGCCUUCGGGUUGUAAAGGACUUUUGUCAGGGAAGAAAAGGGCGGGGUUAAUACCCCUGUCUGAUGACGGUACCUGAAGAAUAAGCACCGGCUAACUACGUGCCAGCAGCCGCGGUAAUACGUAGGGUGCGAGCGUUAAUCGGAAUUACUGGGCGUAAAGCGGGCGCAGACGGUUACUUAAGCAGGAUGUGAAAUCCCCGGGCUCAACCUGGGAACUGCGUUCUGAACUGGGUGACAAGAGUGUGUCAGAGGGAGGUAGAAUUCCACGUGUAGCAGUGAAAUGCGUAGAGAUGUGGAGGAAUACCGAUGGCGAAGGCAGCCUCCUGGGAUAACACUGACGUUCAUGCCCGAAAGCGUGGGUAGCAAACAGGAUUAGAAACCCGUGUAGUCCUUGAC